UCUGUUCACGUUGAGAAGAAAGGGAAGGAAGGUGCAAAUGAGUUUUGUUUCUGCUCUUUAUAACAGAUACAGCUCACCUGUUCAUGAAGUACCAGAUAGACCUAUCAGAGUCAGAGCGAUCUCUAGUUCCUGAGCUCUGCAUCAGUUUUGCUGAUGAAGUCUGAGGCUGUGCUCAAACCAAUCUCUCCGUCCUUUACUACAAGCACACGGUGAAAUGGUAUUCCCUUUCUGGAGGAGGAAACAGGACAUUCCACACCCUUGGCUUGGUAGCACUGGCCAGCUGUGCACAGCUGCGCACCAACCCAGCAGCAGAAAGUCCAGGUUCACCCUUCCUAAGGAAGGACCGAUGCCUUGGGCUCAAGCCAAGCUGGCAGCCACCAACAGAGAGAAGCAGCACAAAGGAUAGCAGACCCUGCAUGUAGGACCCACGCUUUCACCAUCACCAUUGCUCCAUCACUGAACUAGAUAUGAAAGCCAUGUCAUGCAGACAAAACUUAAGAAGGUUCACCAAGAUGCCAAACUGUGGCUGGCUACAGCUUCAGCACAUCUCGUAACAAUGCAGGCCAUGACAUGCCAGUGUGAUGGAGCGUGGUAUGCACAGUUCAGGAAAGAUGUGACAGAUUAACACUGCUGAUAACGGUUGCCACUCCGGAUAUUCUACUAAAAUCCCCUUCUUCCAAGUGGCUUAACUCUUGAGACACUGUUACUGUGGUGUGCUGACUGGGAUCUGCAACCUGUCCCCUGUGUCCACAUGGGGUAUGAAGAAUGCCGAGCAGUGCCCGCUGUGGUAUGUUCCCCUUCUGCACAAGGUGUGAUGGCUUCGAAGCACAUCCUAUUUCCCUUAGUCUGAAAGAUAUUGUUAUGAGGGAGGCACUGGAAUACUAGGAAGGAAAGCAAUCAAUGUGGGGAAAAAGCUAUUUUUCUACCUUUUCUAGUUUGUCUUCUCUUCCCACCUAGGAAGCUUCUGUAGC